AGAUGGCAGUACAACAAAGUCUAACGUUUAGCGUUUCGAACUGUCUCAUGAUAGAGAAAUGUCAACAUAAUGUCACUGGAAUAUUAAUUCAGUAAUAAUUCGCAUAUGGAUUGGCACUCCAUAGUUUAGGACGACAGUUUUGAUACUUACUGUGUGUUAUCGACGGUAAAGACGAAGGACAGGUUUGUUCAGACAACUCCUCACUUCUGAAGUCUAAAGGAUGUUUGCCUGAAUGUUCUUUGUGGAACCAAAAAUGAUCUGUGACAUGUGAAGAACGUGUAGAAUGGCGGCGUUCACGCCAAUCUUGAAGUGAAGAGAAGACCGUUUAAAACACUUUAAACAAGUAUUUAAUGUUACUCUAUUAACUAAAGGAAUAAAUGACCAAACAGUUUAUGUGGAAUCUAUCUACAAGGAUUUUAUUCUUGAAUUAGGUAGUGAUGCAUAGACAUCCGUUUUUCUCUCUCUCUAACAUGCAUAAAUAAAAAAGGUUUAAUUGUGUAAUCAGGAGCUAGAAUCAAACUUCUCAUGAAACAUAAAAUUAAGAUGCUGGGUUGCAUUGCUAGAGGGAAAUUUCCUCCAUUUCCAUGAUAAUGGCACACUAUAAACACUGGUCAUUAGUAGGCACGGCAGACCAGGAGACUUGGUCACGCUUUACAAUGAGGACUAAAGAGAAACUUCUAUCUUUGGUUUAUAACAUUCGAAAUAUUUUGUUAAUGAGGCGGCCUUUCUUCUCAUGCAAAUCGAUGCAAAUUUUGCAGACAGUUGCAAAUUUUCUUCAUUGUAUAAGUUUAAGGACACACAUUCAUGCAUAUUUUUAAUCUUUUGGCACGCACUGUGUUGCAAGGCAAAUUUUUUUUUAAGUUUGCAUAUGGUGGUGCGUUUUCCUAAAAUGAUAUUCUAUUAUAUUGCUAAAAUAGGAAAUAUCCCAAUAUACCGCACCGCUUUAUUGUAACGUAUCGAAAAAUAUUGCACCGCAACCUUUGUAUCGGGAUAUGUAUCGCAUCCUGAAAUUCUUGCCGAUACACGACCCUACUUCUGAUCACGUGGACUGAGAUAGAUUAGAUAGAAAAUAGAAAAAUGAGGAAUGGUAGCCAUUUUUGAUUAAAGGCUUUUUAACAUUUAUCAGGAGUGCCUCAUUUUUCUAUUUAGGCUCUUUUUUGAAGAGCACCCUGGAUUGUUUAUACAUUACUUAUAUAUAUUUUUUGACCCAGAGAAGCAUUCCUUUUUUUCUAUAGAUUAGAUAGAUUUUGCAUAGUCAUUUGAACUGAUGAGCUAUUUAAACUCCUGAUUAAAUUCAAUCUUUUAAUACUUUAAUAAUAAUAAAACUUUAAUACUAGUUUCAAUCUCUGCUUCUUCUGUCUGUUUAAAACGAGAAUGAUCUUAAGAACCAAAGAGUCUUGCUCUUUCUUUGAGUUCUGAAAAGAAAAUAGUGAAGUCCAGCACUAAAGUUAUAACACGUCUACUGAAAAAAUUAUCAGCCAUCAAUAUGAAAAAAAGUGUUUUGGGUAAGAUGUAAUAAUUCUACCCACAAAAAAAUUUCAACUUAGUAUUGGUUCAGAAAGGGACGAACCUAACCCAUUGGGUAAAAUUAACCCAAAAAAUUAUAUUCGACCCAGCAAUAGGGUUAAACUCAAGCAUUUUGAGUUGAAACAACUUAGAUAAAACUUAGAGCUUAAAACAAUUAUAGUCACAAGUUCUGUGUCGUUACCAAAGAGUUCAAUGGUAACAACGAACAUGUGACUGGCCAUAGUUAGCUAACGAUGCUUUUGGAAACAAACCCCAACAUAGGUUAAAUUACAACCUAUGGCUUGGGUUCGUCUUUUUUCGGACCUAUAUUUACCCAGCUAUUGGGCUAAAAAUAACCUAAUUUGGAUUGCUUUAAACCCAGUGUAGGGCUCAACGCAAAUAAUUUUUUAUACUGGCCCAGUCGGGCUAGUGGUUCAGGUUUUCACUUGCCCUGCCAAAAUGUUCACUGGCCCCAAUAAAAAAUAUAUGUCACAUAUUUAAAAAUAAUAAUUCAGAAGUCAAAUAUAAUUGUAUACAACAGACAUGUUCCAACGAAAAAAAGGCUUCCAACUUUUCUGCUUUAAUUGUAAACUGACCGCAAAUUGCGCAAAAAUUGCAUUGUUUCUUUCGUCGUGUUUUACCCAAGUAAAUGUCUGCUUCCAAGAUGUUAAAUAAUAUACAUUGAUGAAAAUAUAUUUUAGUGACUGAGGGUAAAGCACUGGCCCGAUCGGGCAAGUGACAAUACUUUUUACUGUUCGGAACGUCCCUCACACUUGCCCCGGGCCACUGGGCAGUCCAUUAUGUUGAGCCCUGGAGUGUAGGAAACAACACUUUAGUGUUGUUUUGACUGUAUUUAAUGGGCCAUUUUAUUGAUUACAUCAGUAACUGCAAAUGGUUAACCAUAGCUGACUUGUAAAAUAUACUUUUCAAAUUAAUUUUGGAGCCUAACAUUAAAUUUGAGCAACGUUUAUGUAUAUUUUGUAUUAUUUAACAAUCCAAUUGUAAUAAUCCCCAGAAUCCACAGUUUUUCUAAAUCUAGUGAGUAUUUCUCCCCUUUAUUUGAAUGGCAAAAUAUCUUUAGCUAAUGAAGUACCGCAAAUGUAAUAUCUACCUGACAUUUUAAUCCAACAAUGAUAUGGCUAAAUUAUAACCUACCCAGACAUGUUUUACUAACCAGUUUGCAUGCAGUAUAAUGAUCGGCGUUACAGUUCAUUGACAAAUUACAUGACUUCCAUGCUAACUAAACUAACAGAAGUAAUUGGAUUUUUAAUCUUUCAUCUUUGACAGUUUUCAGCACUUUAAUUAUCAUCCAAUCCAUUGUUAAUCAAUCAAUGUUGAUCAACGGUGAGAUUUUUAUAUUUAGGAAUCUUUUAUAAAGAGACACAUAUUUGUAACAACUUUGUACACAA